rnacentral:rRNA from 1 species
GAUGAACGCUGGCGGCGUGCCUAAUACAUGCAAGUCGAGCGAACAGACGAGGAGCUUGCUCCUCUGACGUUAGCGGCGGACGGGUGAGUAACACGUGGAUAACCUACCUAUAAGACUGGGAUAACUUCGGGAAACCGGAGCUAAUACCGGAUAAUAUAUUGAACCGCAUGGUUCAAUAGUGAAAGACGGUUUUGCUGUCACUUAUAGAUGGAUCCGCGCCGCAUUAGCUAGUUGGUAAGGUAACGGCUUACCAAGGCAACGAUGCGUAGCCGACCUGAGAGGGUGAUCGGCCACACUGGAACUGAGACACGGUCCUGACUCCUACGGGAGGCAGGAGUGGGGAAUCUUCCGGAAUGGGCGAAAGCCUGACGGAGCAACGCCGCGUGAGUGAUGAAGGUCUUCGGAUCGUAAAACUCUGUUAUUAGGGAAGAACAAAUGUGUAAGUAACUAUGCACGUCUUGACGGUACCUAAUCAGAAAGCCACGGCUAACUACGUG